rnacentral:tRNA from 1 species
GGACCCGUGGCUCAAUGGUAGAGCGUUCGACUCAAUAACCAAAGGUCGCGGGUUCGAAUCCCAGGUGGACCA